UACGAAGGGGGCUAGCGUUGCUCGGAAUCACUGGGCGUAAAGCGCACGUAGGCGGAUUGCUAAGUCAGGGGUGAAAUCCUGGAGCUCAACUCCAGAACUGCCCUUGAUACUGGCGGUCUCGAGUCCGGGAGAGGUGAGUGGAACUGCGAGUGUAGAGGUGAAAUUCGUAGAUAUUCGCAAGAACACCGGUGGCGAAGGCGGGUCUCUGGGCCGAUACUGACGCUGAGGAGCGAAAGCGUGGGGAGCGAACAGG
rnacentral:rRNA from 1 species